CUCAAUCUUCUUUUCUAGUGGUGACUGGAAUCCUGGUGCGAUCCGAGGGUCUUGGAUGUGUCUGACCCACGCCAGU
rfam:Erinaceus europaeus cont1.596762, whole genome shotgun sequence.